UAGCCUUUAUCUCAACCCAGGUGUGUGUGCAUGCACACAAACAAAUCAAAUUACAGGUUGUUUCUUUUAUUUGUGACCAUAAGAGUUCUGUGCCUGAAUAAAAAUAAUUAGAUUAAGAUAGGCUACACUAAAAUCCCAGCAGCACCGAGAUCCUCGCAGUGGCAUUUGCAGGUAGUGGCACCGCAGUGGCAACCUGUGGCAUGUCCGUGGCAUCUAGUGGCAUCCGGCAUCGGCAGGUAAGUGGCACUACAGUGGCAACCUGUGGCAUGUCCGUGGCAUCUAGUGGCAUCCGGCAUCGGCAGGUAAGUGGCACUACAGUGGCAACCUGUGGCAUGUCCGUGGCAUCUCUACUUGUUUACACAUUUUAAUUUACAAAGUUUUGCACAAUUUCUCUAUGUUUUGCACUUCUUAAUAUUAUCUUACUAUAUAUUAAUAUCUGUUCCAUAGCAUAAAUGUGAAUGUAAGCUAGUGUACAUAUUGUACUGCCUUUGUUCAAUGUUUUACCAUGAAAUAAAUGAGACCACCAUUUAUGGCUUGAGGUCCAUUUAACCUUCAUUUUGAUCACAGGGUAUGCAGUAAUUCAUGCCAUAAAAGAUUGGUCUCAAGGACCGUCCAAAGUGGCUCCAUGUUUGAGAAUUCUCAUGUACCGCUGCAAACAUGGAUGCAUUUCAUCUACAGAUUUGCUCAAGGUCUUCGCCUACAACAAGUUGACAUGAUACAAGAGGGGAUUACUCAGAGCUCUGCAACACUGACAAAACUUGCUGAGAAGCUGCGGGGGGUUUGCAAAGCUGCAAAGAAGAGAAUGAGAGGAAGAGGCAAACAGACCAGUGGAAGAAGAUCUGAUAGAUGCGAGCAAAUUUGGUCAUAAAAGGAAGUACACCAAAGGACGGGCAAGCAACAGGAGUUCCUGGGUUUUCAGAAUGCUGGGCACUAAGGAGGACAUGAGAAGACCUGCGUUCAAGAUAGUUACUCACCAUUCAGCCAAUCAUCUCCUCCCCCUAAUAAAAAUGCACAUUCGACAGGGAACCUCCAUCAUUAUAGAUGGAUGGAGAUCAUAUCAUCGUCUUCAGGAUGAAGGUCACAGUUAUUUGACUGUUACCAAAAGAAUGUUUUGUUGACCAUCUGACAGGUGCACAUACACAAAAUAUUGAGCGACUUUGGGGCAUUUGCAAAUCAACUAUAUGGAGAUUAGAAGGAAACAGCACACAAAAUUUAUUGAAAUAUCACUUAGAUGUAAUUGAGUGGACUUACUGGCGUGGAGACCAACACAGACAUGGACCACUGGGCAUGCUUUUGCAUUGUAGUGUUGUUCGGUAAUGAAUGUGUAAUAGAAGUCCUACACAUCCAAAAUGCCCUUGUAUUAUUUUACUAGUUAGCUAAUCAGCUGUGGAAUGUACUUCUGUUGUCUUGUCCUUGACAGCCUUUUAUUGAUUUGUCCCAACUCAGUGACAAGAUAUAUUUUUACAUUUACUUUUGCAUACUGUCACUCACAUAAUUAUGUUAUCCUUGAACAAGAAAGAAUCAUUUGCAUUGACCUGAGUCUUUGGAUUUAUUUUUGUUGAGAAGAAUGUAUGGCUUGACUGUUUACAGUUUAC